GGGGAUGUUGCUCAGUGGUAGAGCGCAUGCUUCGCAUGUAUGAAUGCCUCGGUUCAAUCCCCAGCAUCUCCA
rnacentral:tRNA from 1 species